AUGUAAAGUGCCUGAUUUAAAGGAUAAUUUUGAUAGAAUUAACUACGUGUUCCCCCCGACACCUUUGCAU
rnacentral:tRNA from 1 species